AGGCGGGCAGGACGUCGGCCGGCACCAGCGGCCGCCACUCGGUGAGCAGCGCGUCGAUCUUGUCGAGGUUCUUGAGAAUUCCCUCGGCAAAAGGCUUUGCCUUCUCGACCGUUGGCGCCGCAUA
rnacentral:sRNA from 1 species